rnacentral:sRNA from 1 species
GCAGGGUUCAGUGGUACAUAUCUGUAGUCCCAGCUACUUUGGAGGCUGAGACAGGAGGAUCUCUUGAUCCCAGGAGUUCAGUGCCAGCCUGGGCAACAUAGCAAGAAUCCAUCUCAA